rnacentral:lncRNA from 1 species
GAACCAUGGGGCGGAAGGGAGAGCGGCCUGAGGGGGGGGCGAAACCAUUCGCUCCAGGGAGAGGGGAAGACCAGAGAAAUGAGGCUGAUAGAGGGUAAAAACACUCAAAGAGGAUAUCCUUCCCCCCCUCAGUCUCAGAGAGAGACCCCUAAGGCAGCACUUUAUGCCGUCUUUGGGCCGCCUUGUUUCCCCCGGCGGUAUCCUCAYCGGAAACGCCGUGGCAGUUUCGCAGUGAUUAACGUGAAUGACUAA